GCCCAGAGAGACAGAGAAAAAAAGGGGGGCCAACUAUACAGACCCAUUUGGGAGCCGGCCUGUACCCAAAGGGUUAACAGGGAUCCGGCCUGGAGGGCGGCGUGCGAUCCCCUGGGGGCGGAGGAACCUCCAGGCGGGAAGAAUUCGCGCCUGGAGAGGUUCCCGCCCCCUCCACCAGAGACCGGAAUAUUGCGGCCUAGUAGGCCGCGAAGCCGGGGGCUAAAUUUGCGGCGCCCGGCCCGUUAUACCGCCGGGACCUGAGGCGGAAUGGCGCUUUAAACCGGCCGCGGGAGCCCACCCCGCGGGCC